AUUUGGAUGGCACUGAAAAGACCAUUUCUGGCGGCGAUGUGCCACUCAAUCAGCAGCAGCAGUUGGACAAACUCUGCAGCCGGAGCGCUAAAUCUCGCCGAUUAGCGAGCUUAAAUCCCCCCACAUUUUUCAUCAAAAUUCCAAGGUAACCCUUUCGUCCCGAAAGACUUGAUGUUUCCAUUUUAUUCGGCAGAAUCUUGGCAUUUGAGCUUCCG
rnacentral:lncRNA from 1 species